rnacentral:rRNA from 1 species
GGUCUUGGAAUAAGGGGUGGGUAAGGACGGUGCCAGCCGCCGCGGUAAUACCGGCCCCUCAAGUGGUAGUCGAUUUUAUUGGGCCUAAAACGUCCGUAGCCGGUUUGGUACAUUCGUGGGUAAAUCAACCAGCUCAACUGGUUGAAUUCUGCGAGCACGGCCAAACUUGGGACCGGGAGAGGUGUGGGGUACUCUCAGGGUAGGGGUAAAAUCCUGUCAUCCUGAGCGGACCACCUGUUGCGAAGGCGCCACACUAGAACGGAUCCGACGGUCAGGGACGAAACCUAGGGGCACGAACCGGAUUAUAUACCCGGGUAGUCCUAGGAGUAAACGCUGGGGACUUGGUGUUGGGGGCGCUCCGAGCACUCUCAGUGUCGAAGCGAAGGUGAUAAGUCCACUGCCUGGGGAGUACGGUCGCAAGGCUGAAACUUAAAGGAAUUG